ACAACCAAACGACCCCUUUAGGCAUAGAAACAAGGGUUUCUACCAACCCUAGCGUCGUCGAUGCCAUCUCUCUCUCUCUCUCUCUCUCUCUCUCUCUCUACUGCUUCAUCGUUGCCCAAAAUGGCUAAUUUUCAUACGUACGUCACUUUUUACAGUCUUGGCAUGGCUGAUUGAGGCAAACACUUAAUGCUUUGCCUCAUCUCUCCACCAAUUCACAACCAAACAAGUUUCGGGGGCCACUUUGGCCAGUCUCUCUAUUCAAAGCUUGUUAGGCUAGAGUCCCACCUUUCUCUUUUCUUGAUCAAGUCAGAACCAAAGACGAAAAUAAGAAGGCCCGACCCUGGUGAAAAUGGUCAAUUAGUGGGCUUAGUUUUGUAGAGGAACCAUUCGAGUGAAGAGGCUACAUGGGAGGCAGAGCAGGCAUUCGAGACAGAUAUCCCGAGCUUUUCUCUUAAGUCAUAUCGAAGAGAAGAAACUUCUACGCAUCUUUCCAUUGGUUAUACCACUUUAUGUGUUUUCAUGAGGAAUUUAAUUGAUCAAUAAUGCGUUUACAUAUUCGCAUUUAUGUGUUGACUCAUUUGAGUUACCGUUGGUGUUAUAUUUCUUUUCUGUAAUUUUGUAUGAUGGUACGGAGUCGCCCGAUGCCCCAUUUUGCAUGUGAUUGAUGGUAUGGAGUCGCCCGGAACUCCUUCGUAUA